rnacentral:rRNA from 1 species
GACGAACGCUGGCGGCGUGCUUAACACAUGCAAGUCGAACGGGAGUAUUGAAGGAGCUUGCUUUAGAGAUACUUUAGUGGCGGACGGGUGAGUAACGCGUGAGGAGCUGUCCUAUGCAGGGGGACAACAGUUGGAAACGACUGCUAAUACCCCAUAAGCCGAGAGGUAAAAGGAGCGAUCCGGCAGAGGAGGUACUCGCGUCCUAUCAGCUAGUAGGUGAGGUAACGGCUCACCUAGGCGAAGACGGGUAGCCGGCCUGAGAGGGCGAACGGCCACACUGGAACUGAGAUACGGUCCAGACUCCUACGGGAGGCAGCAGUGGGGAAUAUUGGGCAAUGGGGGCAACCCUGACCCAGCGACGCCGCGUGGGUGAAGAAAUCCCUCGGGAUGUAAAGCCCUGUUGUAUGGGAAGAGCAGAAGACGGUACCAUACGAGGAAGCCCCGGCAAACUACGUG